CCGAAUCUGUACUGCAUCUCCACUACUCUCGUGCUGUAAAUGGCACACACACGCACGCACACACACACCACUAAUUAUAAGAUUACUCUCUCUCUCUCUCUCUCUCUCUCUCUCUCUCUCUCUCUCUCUCUCUCUCUCUCUCUCUCUCUCUCUCUCUCUCUCUCUCUCUUCCAUUGAUUAGUAAAUGAGAUAAAUAUGAAUUUUAAUAAGCAAAACAGAAAAUUAAAAAUGGCAAAAGAUUUUAAAACGCUUUGCUUUCUGUUGAUUUCAUUUUUUAUUGUUAAUUUAAUGAAAGCAAGCAAAAAAUAUUUAAAAUAAAAAUAUAUAUAAAGAAAAAAGCAGAGGUCGGAUAAAUAUACAAAAAAAAGAAAGAAAACAAAACAAAACAAAUUUAUUUACCAACAACAAAAAUAAUGAUGGAAAAAAAAAGAAGAAAACUUAUUACAUUUUUUUUUAUAUAUAUUUACUCACCACCACCACCACCAUCACUACUACUUCUAUUACUACUACUACUACUACUACGCUGCCGCUGCUACCGCCGCUGCUGCUAUAAUGAAUUAGGAAGGUUAUUAUUAUUACCACGUGACUAAUAAUAAUAAUGCAUUGCUGUUUGUUAAGCA